GACGGAGGGUGCAAGCGUUGCUCGGAAUCACUGGGCGUAAAGGGUGCGUAGGCGGUCUCGCAAGUCUGGCGUGAAAGCCCAAGGCUCAGCCUUGGAAGUGCGCUCGAAACGGCGAGGCUGGAGUGCCGGAGGGGAGAGUGGAAUUCCCGGUGUAGCGGUGAAAUGCGUAGAGAUCGGGAGGAACACCAAUAGCGAAGGCAGCUCGCUGGGACGUUACUGACACUGAGGCGCGAAAGCGUGGGGAGCGAACAGG
rnacentral:rRNA from 1 species